rnacentral:lncRNA from 1 species
AGACAGGGACUGGGCGACCUAGAACGAGGUUCCCAUAUCGUGUUUUAAAAAGCAAAACUUAGUCUCUGUUUUGCUUUUUGUUUCAUUGUUUUUAGCUUUAAAGAGUAAGAGCAGCGCACCCGGCUCCCUCCUGCUAAUUAGAUUUCAGAUUCCCCUCUGGCCUCAGUGCUCAUUCCGGGGAAGACACCUGCUGAGAUGUCUUUUUCCCCCUCCCCCAACCAAACCACUCAGGUCCUACCUGCUCUUUCCCGGCUUGAUGCGGGCGUGUUUUCCUGUAUGUAUUUUUUCGUGCGGCCACAAAAAGCAUCAGCUGGGGUUCCCGAAGGUCAGAAAAUGGCUAUUGAUUAAUCUACUAGAAUAGUUGCCGAGAGAAAUAAAAACGACGUAAAAUAGCAGGGAACCUAUAAAUAAAGAAGCCAUAACUGGCUACUUGGAGUUGUUAAACGACUUAGCAUAUGAAAAAAUCGGAAAUGAGGCGCUGGGGAAGGAGCUGGGAUUGGCAGCGGCCUGGGUAAGUCGAGUGGAUCCGGGAAGAGGCCUGGUGUCUUCAGGUGUGGACAAAUCCUCCAAGAUUUAACUUCCAAGAAAACCGGCGGCGGAGCGGGUGGAGGAGGCGAGGAUGUGUGGCCAAUGCACGCGGAGUGCAAGGCCGCCUAGUUGGGAGCCGCAAGAGCCUGCCUGGUGUGGCAGGCACACGGAACCCAAUCCCUGUCUGUCCGCUGCGGCCUGGGAGGGGAGCGCCGGCCUCACCAGAGGAAGGAGCACGAGGGGAGGAGUUCCGAGAGGAAAUAAUUAGUGAAAUAUUUGCAGAAGAUGCUGGGAUGUGGAUUUAAUUCCGGAUGGACAGUGGUGCUUCUGAUUCCCUCAGUCUGUUUCCCCACCCACGAUCUCCUCUUUCCUUGGCCUAGACACACCAAAAAUAAUUCAAUAAAAUAAAAAUAAAAAUUUAAAAAUCUGUAAACUUGCUUCAUUACAGGCAUUGAGACACACAGAUUGACUUUCAUCCCCAUUAGACAGUUUCCCAGGAUAUAACACUACUCAUCUGAGGCUGGGAGCAGGGUAGGGGGUG